CAAGUCGAGCGGAAACGAUGAUAGCUUGCUAUCAGGCGUCGAGCGGCGGACGGGUGAGUAAUACUUAGGAAUCUACCUAGUAGUGGGGGAUAGCUCGGGGAAACUCGAAUUAAUACCGCAUACGUCCUACGGGAGAAAGCAGGGGAUCUUUGGACCUUGCGCUAUUAGAUGAGCCUAAGUCGGAUUAGCUAGAUGGUGGGGUAAAGGCCUACCAUGGCGACGAUCUGUAGCUGGUCUGAGAGGAUGAUCAGCCACACCGGGACUGAGACACGGCCCGGACUCCUACGGGAGGCAGCAGUGGGGAAUAUUGGACAAUGGGGGGAACCCUGAUCCAGCCAUGCCGCGUGUGUGAAGAAGGCCUUUUGGUUGUAAAGCACUUUAAGCAGUGAAGAAGACUCUUCGGUUAAUACCCGGGGACGAUGACAUUAGCUGCAGAAUAAGCACCGGCUAACUCUGUGCCAGCAGCCGCGGUAAUACAGAGGGUGCAAGCGUUAAUCGGAAUUACUGGGCGUAAAGCGAGCGUAGGUGGCUUGAUAAGUCAGAUGUGAAAUCCCCGGGCUUAACCUGGGAACUGCAUCUGAAACUGUUAGGCUAGAGUAGGUGAGAGGGAAGUAGAAUUUCAGGUGUAGCGGUGAAAUGCGUAGAGAUCUGAAGGAAUACCGAUGGCGAAGGCAGCUUCCUGGCAUCAUACUGACACUGAGGCUCGAAAGCGUGGGGUAGCAAAACAGGA
rnacentral:rRNA from 1 species